GCGGGCCUGCCCAACCACAGGACCAUCCGGCUCCGGGCCAGGCAGUUACACCAUGUCCAGGGGCCGCUGGAAGGGGCAGGGCAGCUGGAGCAGCAGUGAGCGCGGGGCGGCUGACUCACUGCAGCCGCUGGGCCUCCAGUAAUAUUCUUGGACCUCAGCCCGGGAUUCCUGCAGGUUCUGACCAUCCCUGUGUGAGGCGGGUGCCAAGGACACCAGACUCCAUCCUGCCCAGCAAACCCUCUGACGGCCAGAGCGCCCAGCUGCCCUGGGCCCUCCCCCCGCCGGAGGGAGUGACUGCAUCCAGGGGGCCGUGGCUUGUUGUCAGGCCUCAGGCACCUGCGUACAUGACCCCGGACCCCUGGGGUUUACUCGGUGACCUCAGGGCCCGUUGCUGGACUCCUCGGGGCCACGUGGGUGAAGCAGGACAGGAGUAUUUGCAGUCGCUCCCAUGCCCACUUGUAAAGGAGACAAAACAGCCCGGCCGGGGUGGCUCAGUGGUUGAACGUCGACCUGGGAACCAGAAGAUCAUGGUUUGAUUCCGGUCAGGGGUCAGGGCACAUGUCCCGGUUGCGGGCUCCAUCCCCACAUCCCCAGGGUGCGGCGUGCGGGAGGCAGCCAGUCAAUGAUUCUCAUCGAUGUUUCUAUCUCACCCUCUC